UAGUCUCUUUGUCCAUGAAUACCGGCACUGACUGAAAGAAUGCUUUGAAGAAAUUCCUCAAAGGUAAAAGAGAUGAGAGAAAAUGUGUGCAGAAACCUACGGACCAUUGGAGCUUCAACAUGCUUCCACUGUCUUGUAAUUAUUCCAUCUACAGCAUAUAUCCUUCAGGGUCACCAUGGCAGAUAGAGGUGGACAGAAGAAAUUUUUAUUCAUCACUCAUGUGGCUUUUGCUGAAGACCAUUGGCCUGAUUAGUCCUUACGUCCUUGUUCUAACAACCAAGUAUCCUGAGAUGUGUGCAUGGGCAACAGCUGUUAGAAAGAUGGUUUUUGGCUGCAUUGCUGUUAUUCUCAGUAUUCCUUGUUUCUGUGCUACGGCACAGCCUCUUAUUUGGAAGGAGGUGACUUAGCGGUUAAUGCAUUUGGAAGUGGUAUCUGAGCUUAUUCACACAAGCUGUUCAUUUGGGAGUCUUUCGAGUAGCCCUGAAAGCAAAAGACAUAGCAUGAAUUGUGAUUCCGUGCUGGAAGCCUCUCAGAGAAGGAGACCCCACCACCACUAGCAGGUGGGAAACACAUUUGUUUGAACUGCCUUGGAGAAUGGUUCAACAAAUUGCUCAUAAUUUGAAGUUUGGGGGCCUUAGGAAAGCCAUUACUGCUGUUCUCUGGAAUCUUGACCCUUAGCAGGGUUUCUCUACUGAGGUAGUGACAGUCUUGUCUCUAUCUUCCUAACUUGAGUGUCCUUUUCUCCAUUGGUUCAAAACACAGGCAGGGACCAAGAGUUUGUUAACAGACCUGUAGCCAUACAUUAGUGUGUUAGGUCCCAACAAACUGUCAGUGAGUCAACAAACUGUCAGUGAGUCGACAAACUCAGAGAAAACAUGGAAAGUUAUUGAGUCCAAUUUACACUUUCAAAAACAGUGAAUAAAAUCAAGACGAGUGAUCUGAUUAAUGAAAAAAAAAAAAAACAAAACGCUGUUUUGGCAGCAGACUUCCAAUUCCUUACUGUGGCCAGUCUGUGUAACUAAUAGCUUGCUACUAGUAGCAUGCUCUGAUACAGGAAAGCAUCACCUAUUACUGGCAUUUUUCCUCGGUCAUUCAGAUUUUUCCCCCCAAGGAGGUAUAAAAGCUUUAAAAAGAUGAGAAGAAAGGGGAGGAAGAAGAAAAGAGGAGAGGAAUGGAGAGACCACAUUGAAAGACCUCUGAAGAAAUAACCUUCACUUGUUUUCAAGCAUGUGGGGGGUCACUGCCUUGCUUGUCUCCACUCCUACCUUACAAUCUACAGAAUACCUUGGGGUGAAUCAUUCUCCAUCUGAACCGAUUAUUCCCACAGUAGCCUUCUUUUUUCUUCCCGCAACCAUAAAAAUCCAGCAGCUUGUUAAUCAUACAACUAUUUAACAGAGUCCCUCCCUAGUCCUACAACUGAGCUCCAAGCCCAUAAUGUAUAAUCUACCCACCCACACAUAUUGAAAUGAGAUUAUUGUUCCCACAGAAAAGCACCCCGUCAUUGCACAAGUCCCAACUUUGUUCCAGAGGGUGAUAAAAGGGAGGAGGAAAAGGCCAGGAGUUGUUUGAUAGGCUUCUGAGGAAGGCACGACAAGGAUGAAAAGAUUAGCCUCCCAGGUACAGUCUGAAACAGCAUGUAGGCAAACAGUCUCCUGAGCACACUCCCUAGGCCUUUGAUGUAGGUGCCAUCAUGAAUUCCUGAUAGUUAAAGGAGUGGCAGAAUUGGAUGCACUUAUCUCCAACAAAAGGGCAUAGCUUCCAGGUAGGAAAAGCUCCACAGAAUACAGACACAGUCGGGAAUCCAGACUAGGGAGUAGCUAGUCACAGCACCACAGCAGAGCUGAGGUCAUGUGGACAGAUCUGGAUCCAGUCUCUAACUUGCUGUUUGAUAGUUGGGUAAAUGAAAAACACAAUGACCAAUGGAGUCCCAGCUAUUUGUCAAGAGAUAGGUUACUGGUAGCCAUAAACUAUCCUCAGUAAACAUCAUCACUUGUCCUGAGUGAGACCUUUCCUCAUCUAGCACUGUGAUGAUCUAGAAAGUUUAGGGUCAUUGCAUGGCUAAGGGUCAGCAAGCAGCAAACCCAGCGGUACUGACGUUUCCUUACUCACAGGAAGAUUUUGUUGCAAUGGAUUUUGGAGCAAGAGAGCUGUUACUUGGCUGCUCAAAUUUUUAAAUGGGAUUUGGGGGAAUUCAAGAGAAAUAUCUGUAAUCAGCAGCGUGGGAUGACUUCUAUUUCCUCAACCUUUUUAGAGACCAGUGAAGCCCUUGGAUUAAAAUGAUGUAUCAAUGAAGAUCGUGUUUGAGGAAGCUAAAAUAAUUUAAACAUUCUAAUAUUGAAAGAUGCAUCUAAUGCCUCCUGUCCCUUUAGUUUUGUCAAACAUUCUGUCCACAGGCUUUGACAUUGGGAUAUUUAUGUGGAGUGUAUGCUGUCUGUAUGUAGCAUGGCAACGAAGCAUAAUGAUAAAGAGAAAAAUAUGGUAGAGCUAGACCCCACUGCCUAACUAUGUGUACUCUCUGAGCCCAUUGCUGGCUCAAAAUUGUAGCUGAUAAUGAGAAGCCAAAGCUCUUGGGUUCAGACUCCAUCUUAGAGAACCUGCCCUAAGGUUGAAUUCAGUAGCACCAGUUUCCAGGCUACUGCCCAAUAAGACCUGUGUCUACCAGUUUCCAGUCUAUUCCCCCCAAAUAAAUAUGCACCCCCAGAUUACAGGCCCACCCCUGACUCUUCACUUCCUAUCAAUCACCAAUCAGGAAAAAAAUCAGGUUUAUGGUUUGGCUCCCAGCAUCAGCCAGUUAUGUUAAAGCCCAUAAUGGUCCCCCAGUCAGAUGUGUACCAGGCUACAUACUCCCUUCUUGCCUCUAUAAAUGUUUGCCUAAAACUAGGCUCAGGACUACACCUUUCUGCUGUGUCAUGGUUAGUGGGGAGCCCAAGUUCAAGCUUGAAUAAAGAGAUCCUAUUAUGAUUGCAUCA